rnacentral:rRNA from 1 species
AGAGUUUGAUCCUGGCUCAGGACGAACGCUGGCGGCGUGCCUAACACAUGCAAGUCGAACGGGACCAGGGGCAACUCUGGUUCAGUGGCGGACGGGUGCGUAACACGUGAGGAACAUGACCUUCGGCGGGGGAUAGCCGGCCCAACGGCCGGGUAAUACCGCGUACGACCUUUCGGGGACAUCCCUGGAUGGUGAAGGCAGCAAUGCGCCGAUGGAGUGCCUCGCGGCCUAUCAGCUAGUUGGUGGGGUAACGGCUCACCAAGGCGACGACGGGUAGCUGGUCUGAGAGGAUGGCCAGCCACAUUGGGACUGAGACACGGCCCAGACUCCUACGGGAGGCAGCAGUGGGGAAUAUUGCGCAAUGGACGAAAGUCUGACGCAGCGACGCCGCGUGUGGGAUGACGGUCUUCGGAUUGUAAACCACUGUCGGGAGGGACGAAUACGCCGCAUGGCGGGUGACGGUACCUCCAAAGGAAGCACCGGCUAACUCCGUGCCAGCAGCCGCGGUAAUACGGAGGGUGCGAGCGUUGUCCGGAAUCACUGGGCGUAAAGGGCGCGUAGGCGGCCUGAUAAGUAGGGGGUGAAAUCCUGCGGCUUAACCGCAGGGCUGCCUUCUAAACUGUCGGGCUCGAGCACAGUAGAGGCAGGUGGAAUUCCCGGUGUAGCGGGAAUGCGUAGAGAUCGGGAAGAACAUCAGUGGCGAAGGCGGCCUGCUGGGCUGUUGCUGACGCUGAGGCGCGACAGCGUGGGGAGCAAACAGGAUUAGAUACCCUCGUAGUCC